rnacentral:rRNA from 1 species
GACGAACGCUGGCGGCGUGCCUAAUACAUGCAAGUUGAGCGCUGAAGGUUGGUCCUUGUACCAACUGGCUGAGCAGCGAACGGGUGAGUAACGCGUGGGGAAUCUGCCUUUGAGCGGGGGACAACAUUUGGAAACGAAUGCUAAUACCGCAUAAAAACUUUAAACACAAGUUUUAAGUUUGAAAGAUGCAAUUGCAUCACUCAAAGAUGAUCCCGCGUUGUAUUAGCUAGUUGGUGAGGUAAAGGCUCACCAAGGCGAUGAUACAUAGCCGACCUGAGAGGAUGAGCAGCCACAUUGAGACGGAGACACGGCACACACUGCUACGGGAGGCAGCAGUAGGGAAUCUUCGGCAAGGGACGAAAGUCUGACCGAGCAACGCCGCGUGAGUGAAGAGGGGUGUCGGAUCGGAAAACUCGGUUGGUAGAGAAGAACGUUGGUGAGAGUGGAAAGCUCAUAAAGUGACGGUAACUACACAGAAAGGGACGGCUAACUACGUG